rnacentral:lncRNA from 1 species
CUCAAAACUUCGAUCGUGAUGCAAAAUUCAAGUGCUGGAAGGAUGAUUGUGGACUGCUGUUGCCAAUGGUUACUAAAACUGUUUACAUUACUUGCAAAUGGAUAAUAUAAUAUGAAGAGAAUAAUAUAGUAUAUUAUAUGACUUGAUUAGAACCUGUCAAAAAUUCAGUUUCUUAAAUAGUAAAAAUUACUAUGAAAUACUAGUAAUAUAUUUAUUAAUCUUGGGAUAAUUAAAGAUAUUUUUCUUUUCCUAAUAAAAAAGAAAUAAAGAUCAGAACUCCUCUCCAUCAUUAGGU